GACGAACGCUGGCGGCGUGCCUAAUACAUGCAAGUAGAACGCUGACGGCGGAGCUUGCUCUUCUUUAUGAGUCGCCAACGGGUGCGUAACGCGUAAGUACCCUGCCUGGUAGCGGGUGAUAACUAUUUGAAACGAUAGCUAAUACCGCAUAACAGUAGAUGUUGCAUGACAUUUACUUAAAAGGUGCAAUUGCAUCACUACCAGAUGGACCUGCGUUGUAUUAGCUAGUUGGUGGGGUAACGGCUCACCAAGGCGACGAUACAUAGCCGACCUGGGAGGGGGAUCGGCCACACUGAGACUGGGACAGGGCCCAGACUCCUACGGGAGGCAGCAGUAGGGAAGCGUCGGCAAGAGAAGGAAGUCAGAGCGAGCAACGCCGCGGGAGUGAAGAAGGUUGUCGGAUCGUAAAGCGCUGUUGUAAGAGAAGAACGAGUGUGGGAGUGGAAAGUUCACUCUGUGACGGUAUCUUACCAGAAAGGGACGGCUAACUACGUG
rnacentral:rRNA from 1 species